rnacentral:lncRNA from 1 species
CUCACAAGCAUCACUUUAUUAUUCAACCCUCUACAACAUUUUAGGGUUGGUGAAUUUGCACAGAAAUAAUUCAAACACAGUCUAGCGGUUAAUUUAUCAGUUCUGGUAACUAAAGACACCCAAAUUCCUGGACAUAAAGCCCCAGAAAAGUGUCAUCACCUCUCUGACAACAUGCAUAAAAAACACAGGUGAAAUAAGAAAAGGAAAGUGAUUCUCAGAACCCAGCAUAUGUGUCUCUUGUUAUUGCAUUGUGAGAAUUUUCACCAUGAGAAUAAAAAAGGGCAUUCUGGGAGGAGGAGACAGCAAUGGGAAGCAGGUGUAAACAAGAAUGGCAUGUUGCAGAACUGCAGUUAAGGGAAAUGGCUCACACUGAGUGGCUACUGCCCGGCAGGCACUGUACUAGGUUCUUCACCUGUGUCAUUUCACUUAAUUAUCACAGCAAAUCUACCCAGAAGACAUUUUUUUCCAUUUUAUAGGUGAUAAAACUGAGGCCCCAAGGGCCCAAGUGCCUUAAAAGAGGUCACAUAGCUCAUGAAUGGUAGAGCCAGAGUCAGAAACAGGUCUGCCUGCUUUGAAAGCUCCUGCCACUCCCUCUGGAGACUCAGGGCCCGGGGGAGGGAGUGGGAUAGUAGACACUCUCAUAUACUGCUAAUGGGAGUGUAAAUUGGUUCCACUUUUUAGAGAGACAUUUAAUAAUAUCUGUGGAAAUGUUAAGCAUACACAACCAUCAAAUUCAGCAAAAUUGUCUUCUUGGGAUUUAUCCUAGAGACACACUUUCACAAUUACACUAUGAUGUAUGUAUAAGAGUGUUCAUACCAGCGUGGUUUGUGAUACAGAAAAACUGAAAGCAUCCUAAGUAUCCACUAAUAGAUUGGUUACGGUAAAAACCACACUAUCAGAUAUACUGCACUCAUUAAAAAGAACAAGGUAAAUCUAUGUGGACACAUGAAAAGACAGUCUCAGUAUUGCUCAAUAAAAAUAGGAGGUUUCACAAGAGCACAUAUCUGUGAGUGUUCAUGGCAGGGGUUCAAUCCUCUUUCAGGCAUGCACCAUUUGCUCUUGUCAAUGGUGAUCUUCUAGGGAGUGGUGAACUUGAGGGUGGUUCUUGGUGAAGUGGAGAGGGAAACUUUUACUUUCACUGUGCCAUCCUAAUCUGAAUUUUUUCCUAAUAAGCAAGUAUUACUUUCAUAAUAAAAGAAUUUUUUUUUUUUUACAAAGGCCCUUUGUGAACUUAGAAAAUAAUGGAAGCUUUUUACAACACAAAAAUGAAGUGGGUCAGGAUCUGUUGAAGAAUAAAGGGAAGGCAGAUGAUGAUUAAGGAGCUAAUGAUUGCCAAAGGUCAUUUAUGUCUUCACGCUAAUUGCCAACACAGAUUCACAAAGAACUUCAGCACUGGAAAGGGUGUACCUUGAACACAGAAGACCAAAAAGGAAACUCUUCGUGAUACUUUGAAUACCUUGUCAAACCAACCUUGAAAUGCUCUGAUACUCUCUCAACCCUAUUCAGUGCCUGGAAUCUUCAACAUGUUCUAUUCGUACAAAGCACAAUCAGUAUAAAGGGAACCUGGUAGGCAGCUCAAGUAGGAAGAGGAGUCCUUUUCCCCAAAAAACUUGGCUGCUGCAAACCACACUAUUCUCAGGCUGCAUGGGGGUCUCAUCAGUGACAGCUGUAGCCCUUUCUGCAUGGAAAUAUUCUUCCUCUGAUGUGGAGGCAGAUUGCAUUUGCCUGGUUAAUCCAGCCGUACACUGGAGAAAUGAGAAAAGGCCCAAGCAACCCAUAUGUGCUAUAGAUUCUAAAAGGAGAGAAGCCGACCAACAGGGUUUUUUUGCCCAUUUUUUCUGAUAAUGUCAACAUGGCCACUAUUGUUUCAUUGGUUUGCUUCGCUCUGAGGCUAAAUGGAAUUUAUGCUGAGUGAAUAUCUCUGAGGUGCCUCAGAUAUCUCAGGGCACUUUUUGCAGAACACAUGACUGAAAACUUACUCUGAAUUUUUUGCAUAGAAAUAAGGUAUUUAUUUAAAAUUUGCUGUGGGGAAUUUAUGGUUUAAUUUAAAAUUAGGAGCAAAAAAUUUGCUCCUAAUUGCUCAAUGCUUCCUAUUCUUCUAACUUCGUUCUAGUUAGGUUUCCGUAGGCUGUUAAAACCAUUGUUUGU